UACAGAGGGUGCAAGCGUUGUUCGGAAUUACUGGGCGUAAAGCGCGUGUAGGCUGCAGCGUAAGUCAGACGUGAAAUCCCCAGGCUCAACCUGGGAACUGCGUCUGAUACUGGAUGGCUUGAAUCCGGGAGAGGGAUGCAGAAUUCCAGGUGUAGCGGUGAAAUGCGUAGAUAUCUGGAGGAAUACCGGUGGCGAAGGCGCUCUGCUGGACCAUAACUGACACUCACAGGACGAAAGCUAGGGGAGCGAAUGGG
rnacentral:rRNA from 1 species